rnacentral:rRNA from 1 species
UUUAUUGGAGAGUUUGAUCCUGGCUCAGGAUGAACGCUGGCGGCGUGCCUAAUACAUGCAAGUCGAGCGAAUGGAUUAAGAGCUUGCUCUUAUGAAGUUAGCGGCGGACGGGUGAGUAACACGUGGGUAACCUGCCCAUAAGACUGGGAUAACUCCGGGAAACCGGGGCUAAUACCGGAUAAUAUUUUGAACUGCAUGGUUCGAAAUUGAAAGGCGGCUUCGGCUGUCACUUAUGGAUGGACCCGCGUCGCAUUAGCUAGUUGGUGAGGUAACGGCUCACCAAGGCAACGAUGCGUAGCCGACCUGAGAGGGUGAUCGGCCACACUGGGACUGAGACACGGCCCAGACUCCUACGGGAGGCA